rnacentral:rRNA from 1 species
GGCAGCCUACGGGGCGCAGCAGUGGGGAAUAUUGCACAAUGGGGGAAACCCUGAUGCAGCAACGCCGCGUGAGUGAAGAAGUCAUUCUUGAUGUAAAGCUCUAUCAGCAGGGAAGAAAAUGACGGUACCUGAGUAAGAAGCCCCGGCUAACUACGUGCCAGCAGCCGCGGUAAUACGUAGGGAGCAAGCGUUGUCCGGAAUUACUGGGUGUAAAGGGAGCGUAGGCGGGAGGAUAAGUUGAAUGUGAAAUCUAUGGGCUCAACCCAUAGCUGCGUUCAAAACUGUUCUUCUUGAGUGAAGUAGAG